rnacentral:misc_RNA from 1 species
GAAAUGCGAUAAGUAAUGUGAAUUGCAGAAUUCCGUGAAUCAUCGAAUCUUUGAACGCACAUUGCGCCCUCUGGUAUUCCGGGGGGCAUGCCUGUCCGAGCGUCAUUGCGAACCCCUCAAGCACGGCUUGUGUGAUGGGCCCUCCCGCGUCUUGGUCGUGAAGACGGGCCCGAAAUGCAGUGGCGGCUUCGCGGUUAUCCGAUCAGCCAGAGCGUAUGGGGACUUUCUCUCUGUCACACGCCCGCGGCGCGGACCGACGCCUGUCGACCUUUAUUCAUCUUUUUCUCGGUUGACCUCGGAUCAGGUAGGGAUACCCGCUGAACUUAAGC